rnacentral:rRNA from 1 species
GACGAACGCUGGCGGCGUGCCUAAUACAUGCAAGUUGAGCGCUGAAGGUUGGUACUUGUACCGACUGGAUGAGCAGCGAACGGGUGAGUAACGCGUGGGGAAUCUGCCUUUGAGCGGGGGACAACAUUUGGAAACGAAUGCUAAUACCGCAUAAAAACUUUAAACACAAGUUUUAAGUUUGAAAGAUGCAAUUGCAUCACUCAAAGAUGAUCCCGCGUUGUAUUAGCUAGUUGGUGAGGUAAAGGCUCACCAAGGCGAUGAUACAUAGCCUACCUGAUAGGGUGAUCGGCAAGAUUGGGAAUGAGACACGGCCCAAAGUCCUACGGGAGGCAGCAGUAGGGAAUCUUCGGCAAUGGACGAAAAUCUGACCGGGCAACGCCGCGUGAGUGAAGAAGGUUUUCGGAUCGUAAAACUCUGUUGGUAGAGAAGAACGUUGGUGAGAGUGGAAAGCUCAUCAAGUGACGGUAACUACCCAGAAAGGGACGGCUAACUACGUG